UCGGAUAUGGUGUAACGGCCAACAUUGCCGCCUCUCACAGUGUCUUCUUCAAUGAAGACACAAACAGAAGUUUGCGCGGCAGCUCGGGGUUCGAUUCCCCGUAUCCGAA
rnacentral:tRNA from 2 species